CUUCCAGCCAAACCGCUCUGUGCUCCUCGGAGCCAGCCUUCUUCUGAGCAAGGCCCUUAACACCCCUUCUUGUUGAGCUGCCUCUGCUCUCCCUGGAUCCUCUUGGCUUAGCACCUCUCCAGCCCCUCCCAACUGGACCUCUCCUGGGACAGCAUGUGCUCUGCAUGGAAUAACAAGGUUAAAUGGACAAGGCUGAAUGGCCCUGUGAUGGGGAGUGCCUUUAAGCCACAUGACGGAAAUGAAACAGGAGCCAUAAUGACCAUGACUGGAGGAGAAUCAGAUUCUGGCCUGGCCUGGUUCUGUGAGAUACCUUAAAUCAUACUUUCUGUAGCAUCCCUUAAAGUUUAGAGAAAAGCUGAAUCACUCAGCCCAGAGGAAGCCUGAGGAGGCAUAAAGAAGUCUUGGAAAUCCCCUGAAAAAAAGAAUCAGAUAUCACCUCCAUAGGAAGCUGUCUCUCUGCUUUAGAGCAAGAAUCAACAAACUUUUUCUGUAAAGAGCCAGAUAGUGAGUAUUUUAAGCCUUGAGACUCACACAGUCUCUGUUGCAACCCCUCAACUCUGCCAUUGUAAAGCUAUAGCAGCUACAUACAAUCCAUACAUAAACGGGCAUGGCUGUGUUCCAAUAAAACUUUAUUUAUGCACAAAGGCAGCAGGCUUGAUUUGGGCAUGGCCUGUAGAUUAUUGACCCUUGCUUUAGAGUUACACUUUAUACAUUUAUCGCUGAGGCAAAAGUUAAGUCUCUAGAUGUGAAAAUCCGUGGCUUCCAAGUGAGAGCAGUAUAUGGAUGUAGUUAGUUAGACUGGACACAAGGUUGGUGAUACAGGUGAAUCUGCCUAAUGUAGCAUAUGAUACUGCUUAGAGUUAUUUUAUUUUUAAUUAAUUAAUUUAUUUAUUUUUGAGACAGUGUCUCACUCUGUCACCCAGGCUGGAGUGCAGUAGCGCAAUGAUAGCUCACUGCAGCCUUGACCUCCCUGGCUCAAGUGAUCCUUCCACCUCAGUCUCCCGAAUAUCUAGGACUACAGGUGCACACCACCACACCCAGCUAAUGUAUUUUUGUGUGUGAAUACAGGGUUUUGCCAUGUUGUCCAGGCUAAUCUCAAACUCCUGGGCUUAAGCGAUCCACCCACCUCCACCUCCCAAAGGGCUGGGAUUACAGGUGUGAGCCACAUAGCCCAACCUAGAGUUAUUUUAGAUUCUCGUCAUCCCAGUUAACUGAAAGAACUGCCUGCUAAAG
rnacentral:lncRNA from 10 species